UUGUGCAGGACAAACCUCAAACAUGAAAAGGUGACUGAAAGCGUUACCUAUCUGGGCCAUACUCACCCUGAUGUUUAGCUUACCUAGUUUUGCCACUUCAAAAUGAGCUUCCAGAAGUCUACCUUCAAGUUGAAUUACUUUGAUCUGAAGAAAUGCAAUCUUCUGUUAUUUGCACAGUUUGAGAAUUCUUGCAACCUAAUAGAUUGAUUCCAUAUGUAAUAUCCCUCUAAAGUUUCUGUAGAAAAUACCAGUUUCCUCACUAUGUAGCUGUAGAACAUCAUAAAAGAAGAAUAGAUUCAGGAAACAAACAUUCAGAUCCUGAUUCAUAUAAUCUUUUUUAAAAUUCAUUUAAACUUUGGGCAUGUUUGACAGUGCUUCUGUUGGACAGUGUCUUCCUUCUCUCUCUUAUCUUAAUGCAAAAGGUGGCCUUGAAAAAAUGUUCAUCAAAACAUGGAAAUACCAUUCGUGCUGAAGUAGGUUCAAAAUCCAUAGUAGCAAUUAUUUAGACAUGAAACUAAGGAUGGCACAAUUUUUAUUAUGGGAAAGUUUAAUGAUUCCUGGUAAAAUCUAAAGUCUUUCCAAGUAUAGAAGGAGUUGGUGGAAUUAUGGGAAUGCAGUUACUCUUAUUGGUUAAAAUAUGUUUGCAAAUGACAGUAUAAAUAAGCUUUCUCUGUUAAAGAGUUUUGCCCAUUUUGUUCUGGUAUCAACAUUACUUUUGGUCCCCCUAGCAAAAGACUUGCAGUAACAUUCAGCAGGGAUUUCUAGUCUUUAGAUUUGUCUUUUUUUUUCUAAAUUAACACCUUCCAGGGAAAGACUUCUGGCAUAAAGGGAAUGCUACAUGAUCCAUAAGAUGAUGAAAAGUCAUUUUGGCAUCAAAGUGCCUGCUUAAAAAACUUUAAAUGUUCAAGUAUCUUACAGAAAACAAGGGGAUUUGAAUUGUCCUUAGUAUUUUGAUUUGUACCUAAUUCAAACUGUUAGACUGGAUUCCUCAUCUCCUCACAUUUCCUCUGACCCUAGCACAUAUAAUUAGACUCUGGAUUUUAAUUUAGUAUUUCUGCACUAUAAAUCUUUAACAUUAAUGAAUCAUUCUCUGGUAACCUCUUGUCUUUGAAUCUUUCAUACCUUCAGGGUACGGUAGGGUUUAUGUUUUAAAACAUUUUCUGUGUGUCUUUAAAAACUAGAACCUUUGCUAAUAUAAGACUAAGAUUUUCACAUAAGCCCAUGAUUCUAGAAAGCAUGCUUUUAAAUAAUACUAGAUUAGUGUUAAGUCAUGACAGUUUGUUAAUUUCUCAUCCUGUACUUUAUUCCUAAGCCUUCGUUGCUUCAUUUUCAUUUUUUCUGUAAAAUCUAGAAGGCUCAGGGAUUCUCUGGAAGAAUUAUACAAUCGUUUGACUUAAAACAUCCUAAAUUAGGAACAAAGCUUUUAAAAAUCAUUCUUAAAUUCCAACACAUAGUUUUAAUAGCUUGUUUUUUUUAAAAAACUCAUGUGGUAUUUCAUCUUUUUCUCAGCCAAUGAGACCUCAAUUUUUAAGCAGAAAAGUUAUAUUGAAAUAAGGUAAAUGCAGGACUGAUCUUAGAACAUAAUUUCCAGAAGUAUAGGAACGACAAUAGAUAGGGUUUAUAAUGGAAUUUUCCCUAAGUCAUUUUUAGAUGUGGAGACAAAACUGUGCAGCACAAUAAAACCGGAGAGAAAGAGGUAGCUCGAAGAGAUGCAGCAGCAUAAAUACAAAGAACAGGGGCAGGCUUUAUUCAGGUUUUUACUUGAAAUGGUGUCAGAUGAAGAACUUCUUCUCAAAGAUCCGAUUUAAUGUCCAAAUCAAAUAUGGAGCUAGCCUGCAAAUGGGAUCAUAAAUAUUAAAGCUGAUGAUGUGUGGUACUAGACUGAUGAGAAAUAAAUCAUCCACCCUUGGGAAAUUAUCUUUCUUCCACAGAAAAUACCUUUCCUUUAAUGUUUUAGGUUUUUAUUUCCCUCUUGGAAAUCUCAGAACAUCUGAGAAGAUUUUUUGUUUGUUCUCUGUUUCUGAGUAAGUCAUUCAAACUCAUACGAAAUGAGUCAUUCUAUGUUAAAACCCCUUCUGCAUAGCAUUUUACAAAGCUACUGCUCAUGGUGUGUUUUAUAUAACGAGUUGUAAUGUGAAGUUGAUGGUGUAUUGACAAAUUACAGCUGAGUGUAGAACACUAAUUGGAAUUCUUAGGUCUGAAGGUUAAGAUUUAUGGGGAGAAAAUUGGAGGAAAAUAAAACUUCUUUGAGUUUCUUGUACUCUGUACCUUCUUUUAGGAUGCUGUACCACAUACAAUAUUAGCACUGUAGUAGUAGAAUCACAGAAUUGUAGAAUAGUUGAGAUAGGAAGGGACCCUAGAAGGUCUGUAGCCCAAACCCCUGCUAAAAGCAGGGUCAGCUCUGAUAUCAGACCAGGCUGCUCAAGGCUUCAUCCAGGCCAGUCUUUAAACCCUCCAAUGCAGGAAAUUUCUCAGCCUCAAUGGAUUCCAAUGCUCGACUAUCAGUGAAAAAGGUUUUCCGUAUUAAGGUGUUAGUCCCAACAUUAUUUAUAUACCUUCAUAUUUGAUUUACUUUAAGGUAGUCCUAUGUAAUACAAUAUAAGUCCUUCUGUAGUGUCACAGUCCUUCACAGACACGGAUACAUUUCUGGAGUACAAGAACGUGCCACAGGCAAGAAAAAGUAUAGGGCUAACAUCUGUUUUUAACAGCAGAAGCACAAAAUAGGUUCGGAGAUAGGUUCACAAAUAGGUUGUAGCAGAAGUGAAAGUAAGCCUUUAGAUUUGCUAGGUCCUAGUCCACUGUCCUUAUCUAAGGGUUGUAAGUGACAUACAACAGACUGGAGAUAAGAAUUGCUUAACAGACCUCCUUCUUACCUGCAGCAUGUUUCUAAAGUGAAAAAAGAACAAACAAUAAAACACAAAAAAACAGAAAAGGCAAAGGAAAUACAUGUGGUCUAAACAAUGGAAAAGUGUUUCAGGAACACGUCAGGAAGCUUGUAUUUUGAAGACGCUCCAAGAUUUCCAAAGAAGGUAUUGCAUAAAAGAGCUAUUCACUACCCGAGGAAGUACAACUAUAGGAACACAAAGGAUGGUGAACUGUGAAACAGUCUAGGCA